rnacentral:lncRNA from 1 species
GAUCGGAGAACUGUGUGAUAGGAGCUGAGAACUGUGUGAUAGGAUCUGAGAACUGUGUGAUUGGAAAACUGUGUGAUAGGAUCGGAGAACUGUGUGAUUGGAGAACUGUGUGAUAGGAUCGGAGAACUGUGUGAUUGGAAAACUGUGUGAUAGGAUUGGAGAACUGUGUGAUUGGAAAACUGUGUGAUAGGAUUCACUAGUUGAAGUCUGGUUGAACCUGUAGCUCUUGUGCAGCAUUUCCCUGACACUGACUGAGAAUACAGGACAGUGAUGAUCCUGUUCAAAGUAGUUCUGAUUUUGUGAAUCAUGUCAAGAAAAUUCAUUUUAAAAGUGAGUUAUUUGCUUUUGUCUCACUUUGCUCUAUUAUUUUUGUAAAUAAUCAUAGUUAGAAACUCUGGAACAAAUGAGACCUUCUUCCUAAAAUGGCUCAGCUGAUUUAUGCAGCUUACCUUCUUAUUUUCUCCAUGCCUGGUACCAAGUGACACUCCAGUCUGCCCUGGUCAUUUGGUGAUGUAAACAGUGAAACAAGAAGAUAGGCAGGAGGAAGGGCUUGGUGGUACCAGGUACCAACUGUAGUUGAGGAUUGCUGCUAAUAUGGCAAGGAAAAUUCUUCCUUGACACCUGAGCAAAGCACUGUGGCUUUCUGUUGUUUAUAAAAUUCCCCACUGGAAAGCAGUAAUGGUUAUGGCCUAGAGGCUACUCAGAAAUUACUGUUUUUGUUUGCUCUUUCUAUCUUUUCCCAGUUUCUCAACCACUCAUACCUGUCUUGAGUCAGUUGUGAAAGACAGUAUAAGAGUACUGAAAAAACUGCUCAAAUUUGCAACUGUGACUAGAAUAUUACAUGAAAAACUUACUAUCAGUAAAAAGAAAUUAAGCAAAUAUUUAAAAAAAUGUUUGCUGAUUAACUAUGGUGAAUAGGGUAGAGUUUUGAAGAUACUGUUAAAUUUAGAUAGGUAGCUUGAAGAUUUUUGAAAAUUGAAAUAAAUUGAGUGCUAUGAUUUCAUUUUUAGUGAAUGGUAAAGAUGUAGGUGGGAACAUUUUGAUUAUAGAGAAUUCUUUGAUUAACUUGCCAUAGUUUAAAAAGUUAUUAUGCAUUCAUGAGAAAAUCAGUACAAACAUGGGUGCAUGACAGCUUAUCAACCUUAAUGUAUAUAAUUGCAUGGGGUGUUACCCUUACUGAAAUUUAGAAACUUUCUGCUUAUGUAUUAUAUACACAAUGAAGUUUAUGAAACUAAGUUAAUGUUUUCUCUCCUUGGGUUUUCUUUAGGAUAUUAGGAAGCAGAAGCUGAGUUCAGGCACAUGGUUAUUUUAACAGGAGGACAUUUCAUGCUUUUAUAUAUGCUAAUAUAGAUAGAAUCAGUUAGAUAACUGGGGUGAUUUAAACCUGUAGAGAUUUUAAUUUCCAUUUUUUUUAGACAUAGACUUUUAUGUAUAUUGUAUUUUUAUCUUAUUUCGUUACAAAUAGGAUUUAUAUAUACAUGUACAUCCUUUCCAACUACUCGUUCACUUAAGAAUUUAUAGACAGAAAAUGAUAACAAGUGACUCAGUUUGUGACAGAUGGCUUAAUCUUUAGUAAGCACCAGGCCUCAUGAUAAAGUGUGCAGCAGUGUCCUUCUGCUCUGCAGCUGAACAUUUAAACAAAGGACCUUGGUUUUGUUGUCCCUUCACACCAAUGAUCCCAAACUAAGACGUCAUCUGUUUACUGAUCUUAGACUUUGAAGAACAUGGAGACUUUGUCAGAGACUCUGAGAUCUAAUAAACACUGCCAGCAAAGUAGCAAGAUGGAAAAAAAAUCAUCUAUUUAUACACAAAUUAAAAAAUCAGAAACCAGGCAGGAGGGGUGCAUGCCUUUAAUCCCAGCACUCAGGAGGCAGAAGCAGAGGCAGAGGCAGGUGGAUCUCUGUGAGUUUGAGGCCAGCCUGGUCUACAGGGGGGGCAGCCAAGGAUACACAGAGAAAAACCAUGUCUUGAACAACUAAACAAGAAGAACAACAAGAAGAAGAAAAUCACUAGAAACGUCAGAAAAACAAUCCCUUUAACAAUAUUAUCAAAAUAAAACCUAGGAGCAAGCAUGCCCAAGAACCAGAAAGCCUCUACAAGGAAAACACUAAGAAGAGAAAAUGAAGAUACUAGAAUAUGCAAAGACCUCUCAUGCUCACAGGUUGGCAGAAUUAACCGUGAAAAUGGCUCCGCUACAAAAAAGUCAUCUUUAAUUUCAAUGCAGUCUUCACCAGAAUUCCAAUGACCUGCUUCAGGGAACUAGAAAAACAAAACAACAACAAAAAUCCAAACUUAAAAUUCAUAUGAAAACACAAACAAUGCUAAAUAGUCCACAAAGCAAUCCUGUGCACACACAAAGCAAUCCUGUGCACACACAAAGCAAUCCUGUGCACACACAAAGGAAUCCUUUGCACAUACAAAGCAAUCCUGUGCACACACAGCAAUCCUUUGCACAUAAAGCAAUCCUGUGCACACACAGCAAUCCUUUGCACAUAAAGCAAUCCUGUGCACACACAAAGCAAUCCUGUGCACACACAAAGCAAUCCUGUGCGCACAGCACUUAAUUCCUGACUUUAAAUUAUAUGACAGAACCACAGUAAAACUACCAGCAUGGUACUGACACAAAGACAGAUGUGUAGACCAAUGGAGUAGAAAAGAAGACCCUGAAAUAAAUCUACAGAGCGGCAGCUGUCUGAUUCUUGGCAAAGAUGGCAAAAAGUGGAUGCUGGAGUAGAUAUGGCUUCUUCAAGUUCAGGGAGGAAAACCUGGAUUCAGAUGGAGACUCAGUCCUCAUCCUAUACAGCAUCAACUCAAAAUGGACCAAGCAACUUCAUGUAAGACCUAAACCAAACCCUGCAGGAAGGCAGAGGAAAGGGGUAGAGACCUUGGCAUAUGCCAUGACUUUCUGAGGAGGAUAUAAACAGAUACAGAAAUCACGACAUCAGCUAUGGAACUGCACAGGAACCAAAACACUGGAGUAAGGAGAUGGCGUG